rnacentral:rRNA from 1 species
UACGUAGGGUGCAAGCGUUUGUCCGGAAUUACUGGGCGUAAAGAGUUCGUAGGCGGUUUGUCACGUCGUUUGUGAAAACUCACAGCUCAACUGUGAGCCUGCAGGCGAUACGGGCAGACUUGAGUACUGCAGGGGAGACUGGAAUUCCUGGUGUAGCGGUGAAAUGCGCAGAUAUCAGGAGGAACACCGGGUGGCGAAGGCGGGUCUCUGG